CGGAGUCAGACGCGUUAAACCCGAACCCUUCCCAUCUCCUUCAAGGUCACCGAAGUUGAGGUUCAAGUCGAAGGCAUCAACGAAAGCGAGUCUUAAUCGAACCUAACCUACAUGGAUAAAAGUAAACCAUGGAAAGACACGUUAGUGUGUUAUUGGAGGGUGAGAGUCCCAAAA